CUUUUUUGUACAUCUAUUUUAUAUAUCAUUCCUAGUUUCUCAUCUAUUCUUUCUUCAUCUUUUUUUGUGACUUCCUAAGACAUAAUGCCUCUUUCAACUUCUAGGUAGAAGAGGUAGAGAUAGGCUUUCAGGGGAGCCUAUCUCCCAUCUUAGACGUGUUCACGAAUGUAACGUGGCGCUUCUAUUCUUGAUCUCAUUAGAAUCAAAAUUAAAAUCGAUCAUGUGACGUGAAUUGAAUGUUGCCAGCUUUAGCAAGUGGGAUAGGACAUCAGUAUGAGACAAAACAGAAGGCUUUAGCUCUGACGCUGUAUAAAACGAUAGGGAAGCGAACACACACGUAUUUACGAGAAGUUUUUUCUGAUAUUCUAUGCAUACGAACUUUACAAUCGAUGCUUCCAAACUUUAAAAUUGAUGCUACCCCGGAUUUGAAUUCUUUGAUUUUGCAACAUUUGAAGAACAUGUCUCGAAACAUAUUAAACAAAGGCUGCGUUCCAAGCUCUUAACGCUUGCAAUAUGCACGAGCAUUUAUCCUUAUUUAACAUUUGAUAAACAAGAAUGAAAUGAUUCCUCAAGCGUUGUGAGCGUUAAAUGGAACGCAGCCAAAGUAUACAUACUAAUGUGGGAUCAGAUUUCAAUUCAAUCAAAUGUCACAUAUGAUAGAAAGGAUACCAUAUAUAGUUUUGAAGAUUGAGACAAUAAGCGUAUUAAUAAACCUGCAGAUCACGUAUUGGUUUUUAUGCUGUAUGGAUUGAACACAUACUAGAAGAUGCUUAUCUCGUAUAACUUUUGCGUUAAAGUGACAAACGUAUACAAUUAGUGUGCUGCAUUAAAGAACACGUGCAUGCAAUAUACGAAGCAGGCUUCCAUAUCGUAGUGACUAUCUGGAAUUUCCAAAUAUCUCUGCAAUGAAGCAGUUACUACUACAGACAGAAAUGGAAUGCCAUUUAGAAGAAAAAAUACAAGAUAAGUAAUAUCCAUUUAUAAAUGUAGUACACAACACACAAACAUCUUACGAAAUGAAUAUUUAAUUUGCAGCUCUAACUUACAUGAUCGGAAAUUACGAAAUUGCUCAUUUAUUUAAUCCUCCACAUCUAAUAAGGUGAUGGAAUAGUUUAUUGACAAAAGAUCUAGCAAGUUUACAACACAAGCCUUAAGAAACGAUAGCGAGCUAUAUUGAAACUUUCGCAAGAUUAAAAUAUAUAGCACAACAAUGGAGGACAAUAGCAUGAUUCGAAUAGAUAAAAAUGAUAUUGCAACAUCGGAAACUAUUAAUUUUGUAAUAAUCUGUUCGAUUCAGUAAACGGUACUGUGAUUAGCGCACACCAUGCAUUUUGGUGAACGCAAAAAACAUACUAAAAAAUAUGUUAUAUAGAUAUAGACAAGGCUAUAUGAAAAAUUGUUAAAACAACUAAUCCUACAUUAAAAAAUUGGCUCUUAAUCAUGAAAGGUUUCGAAAAACUAUAGACAUUGAAAUGUAAGUAUGAUUCUAUGAGUCUGAAAGCGCGUUAUUGUAAUCAGGACUCAAUAGAGAACUUUUUCGGUCAAGUGAGGAACCGUGCCAUUAGAAAAACGAAGCUAACACCUUGGCAAUUUGAAGACUCGUCUAUAACUUUAUUAGUGAACAACAUGGUCUAUUAGGAUGGUAACUG
rnacentral:lncRNA from 1 species